rnacentral:rRNA from 1 species
UUGGUUAAGUUAGAAAGGGCGCACGGUGGAUGCCUUGGCACUAGGAGCCGAAGAAGGACGGGACUAACACCGAUAUGCUUUGGGGAGCUGUACGUAAGCGUUGAUCCAGAGAUUUCCGAAUGGGGGAACCCACUAUCUUUAGUCGGAUAGUAUCCUUACGUGAAUACAUAGCGUGAGGAAGGCAGACCCAGGGAACUGAAACAUCUAAGUACCUGGAGGAAGAGAAAGAAAAAUCGAUUUCCUGAGUAGCGGCGAGCGAAACGGAAAGAGCCCAAACCAAGAAGCUUGCUUCUUGGGGUUGUAGGACACUCUAUACGGAGUUACAAAAGAAAGUUAUAAAUGAAGCGGUCUGGAAAGGCCCGCCAAAGACGGUAACAGCCCGGUAGUUGAAAUAGCUUUCCCUCCAGAGUGGAUCCUGAGUACGGCGGAACACGUGAAAUUCCGUCGGAAUCCGGGAGGACCAUCUCCCAAGGCUAAAUACUCCCUAGUGACCGAUAGUGAACCAGUACCGUGAGGGAAAGGUGAAAAGCACCCCGGAAGGGGAGUGAAACAGUUCCUGAAACCGUGUGCCUACAAGUAGUUAGAGCCCGUUAAUGGGUGAUAGCGUGCCUUUUGUAGAAUGAACCGGCGAGUUACGAUUUGUUGCAAGGUUAAGCGGAAAAAGCGGAGCCGUAGCGAAAGCGAGUCUGAAUAGGGCGCAUAAGUAACAGGUCGUAGACCCGAAACCAGGUGAUCUACCCAUGUCCAGGAUGAAGGUAAGGUAAUACUUACUGGAGGUCCGAACCCACGCACGUUGAAAAGUGCGGGGAUGAGGUGUGGGUAGCGGAGAAAUUCCAAUCGAACUUGGAGAUAGCUGGUUCUCUCCGAAAUAGCUUUAGGGCUAGCCUCGAGGUAAAGAGUCAUGGAGGUAGAGCACUGUUUGGACUAGGGGCCCUUCUCGGGUUACCGAAUUCAGAUAAACUCCGAAUGCCAUGUACUUAUACUCGGGAGUCAGACUGCGAGUGAUAAGAUCCGUAGUCGAAAGGGAAACAGCCCAGACCACCAGUUAAGGUCCCCAAAUAUAUGUUAAGUGGAAAAGGAUGUGGGGUUGCUUAGACAACCAGGAUGUUGGCUUAGAAGCAGCCACCAUUGAAAGAGUGCGUAAUAGCUCACUGGUCGAGUGACCCCGCGCCGAAAAUGUACCGGGGCUAAACAUAUUACCGAAACUGUGGAUGAACCUCUUCGGAGGUUCGUGGUAGGAGAGCGUUCUAAGGGCGGUGAAGUCAGACCGGAAGGACUGGUGGAGCGCUUAGAAGUGAGAAUGCCGGUAUGAGUAGCGAAAGAAGGG